AUCCAGCUGACGAGUCCCAAAUAGGAUUAAAUGCGCAUCCUGGAU
rfam:Schistosoma haematobium scaffold19_4, whole genome shotgun sequence.